GUCAGCGCAUUGGGACGGACAAGUUGUUACUGUAGCCUUUGGCUUCUGUUGAGUAUCUAUAUUUGCAUUGCAUUGAAGGGUUGUGUUUGCCAGCUUUGUGAGCCAUGGAUAAAAGGGUGCUGGUGCUCCUCUUGUGUAUGCAGGCCUUCCUACUCCUCACUGCUGUGAAUUCGUCUGAUGCUGCCACUGGGUCGGUGGACAAUCAGCAACGUGAUCAGGGAACAGCUGCCCCAGCCGAACCAGAUACAAUAUCCAUUCACCAGCUGUUUCUGAGACCUGGCGCAGGUUCAACGAUAUGGAAUGGGGUCAGAAGAAAGUGAGAAAGGACUUGACGGCAUGCAAGAAAAUGGCACCUGCUUUUCCGCUCUGCUGUCUGAAGCCUUCAAUGAUGGUGCUGUCAUUUAAUGGAGGAGUGGAAGUUUUCAAAUAUGCUCUCCUGUGAGAUGGAAUUACAUGUGUGAUGCACUGCUGAUUAAACAUGUGGAAAAAGUGCUCACAUAA